GAGCACAGCAGAGAUAUUAGAACUGGGCCAUCAUUGCCCAGCACAGGAUUCCUCUAUCAAUCAGACUUUGCUCAGAGAUUCCCUAUCAGCCUAACCAAGACUUUCCCAGGACUGCAUCGUGGUCUGGGGAGUUUCCUAAGCAAUCAUUCCUUCCCUUCUUCUCUUUUGCAAAUGCCAGGUCUGCACCACAGCCUAUAGGUUUUCUAACCUGCUUCUGUUCCCUUCCUGAAAUGGGUAUUUUCCCCGAUACAUCUCUUGGAUGUCUAACCUCAUCUUGGUAUCUGCUUCCUGGAUGACACAGGUGAUGCCAGAAGUGGUCCAAGACAACAGGCGGUAUUACAAAGUGUCGGGACUGGCGCGCUCACUAACCGAAUGUCAGGGAUGACUCCAUUCUGAAGAGACUGCAGGGCACUCACUAACCGAAUGUCAGGGAUGACUCCAUUCUGAAGAGACUGCAGGGCGCUCACUAACCGAAUGUCAGGGAUGACUCCAUUCUGAAGAGACUGCAGGGCGCUCACUAACCGAAUGUCAGGGAUGACUCCAUUCUGAAGAGACUGCAGGGCGCUCACUAACCGAAUGUCAGGGAUGACUCCAUUCUGAAGAGACUGCAGGGCACAGACAGUCCCUGGCACAGAGUCCAGUCCAGCUGCUGAAGAUUUCACCAGUGCUGAUCUGGAAAAUGCUCUGUGGGAAGGAAAUGCUCUUGGCCGUACAAUGACUCAGGUAUUUGAACGAUAUUGGGGAACAGUUCCUACAAAGACAAGAGAAUUAGUCUCUCGAGUUAGUUACCAAGUUGUUCUAGUGCGCCACACUCAGUAAUGCGAAACAGGUGUGGCAGUUGCUGGCUGACUGAGAGCAGCAGAGGGCCUCUUUGGUAGCUUAUUUCUUGCAGGGGAAAAGCAGACACAGCUGAAGAGCAUGUUUAGAAGUUAACAGUGUUGCAGAACUCCAGAGAUAUUCCAGUAAGAAACAAAACAUCAUUGGUGGCUCUAGCGCCUGUUCUCAUCUUUUACUCGAGUCCACAUAUUCGUCUCGGAAGUAUCGGAGGGUGUCCACUCUAUUCCUCUUUAGUUCAUUAAUACUGAUUGUCUACUGUGCACAGUAUAUAACUUGUCUGACUCUUGCAGUGCUGCCCUUGAACACGGGACCCUAGAAAUGUGGGAUGGAGACAUCUGAGUGGAUUCCCUCAAGGGUUUCACUCCAUAGACCUUCCCCCAAGAGUUUCCAGAGGUCCCAUCCACAAUAAGAACUACUACUUCUCCUGUGUGAGAAGACACUACCAAAGCUUCUCCUUCCUACUCCAACAGCUUGGAUGAUUUCCCCAACUCUGUCUUCCAGUUCACUGAUUCAUGCCUCUUUAUCAUCUCAUCUAUUGUUGAUUCCUUCUACUGUAAUUUUUAUUUCAGUCAUUAUAUUCUUCUGCUC
ensembl:lncRNA